rnacentral:tRNA from 2 species
GGUACCAUGGCCGAGGGGCUAGGCAGAGGUCUGCAAAACCUUUUACGGCGGUUCGAAUCCGUCUGGUACCU